UUUUAAAGUGUGACUGAAACAAAACAAAGCCAAAGGGACGCUGGAUCUAUCAUUGGUUGAUUUUCCUCCUCCUUUUUUUUUUUAUGACCAAAAACAACCCCCCACCCGAGCAAACAAACACACACAAAAGCAGAAAGAAAGGGUCUUGCUCAGCAGCAGCAUGGAUGUCUUGGCUAGUUAUAGUAUAUUCCAGGAACUCCAGCUUGUCCACGACACCGGCUACUUCUCAGCUUUGCCAUCCUUGGAGGAAAACUGGCAGCAGACAUGCCUGGAGUUGGAGCGAUACCUUCAGACUGAACCGCGGAAGAUCUCUGAGACCUUUGGUGAGGAUUUGGACUGCUUCCUUCAUGCCUCCUCAGCCCCAGAUGCAGAGGACAAUAUACGACGGCUGGACCCCAUCCUUUUGCCAGUGGAGACCAGUACAUGUGACAAAAGCGCCAACAUGGACAUUAUCCUCUCCCGUGACAAACUGCUGUCUGAGACGUGCCUCAGCUCACAGUCCACCAGCUCUUCCACAGAAGGCUACACAGCCGUCAACCAGGCCCAGCUCAAUGCAGUGACCUCAUUAACCCCUCCUUCCUCUCCGGAGCUCAGCCGCCACCUUGUAAAAACCCCACAGACUCUCUCAGCGGUGGAUGGCACAGUGACGUUGAAACUGGUAGCCAAGAAAACUUCACUCAGCUCUGUGAAAGUGGGUGUAGCAACAGCGACUGCGGGGACAAUAAAAAGCGGGCAAAGUGACAGUGAGCAAGGAGGUACAGGGACAGAAGCAUCCCCAGAAAACAAGAAGAGGGUUCAUCGCUGUCAAUUUAAUGGGUGCCGGAAAGUUUAUACAAAGAGCUCCCAUUUAAAGGCUCACCAGAGGACUCAUACAGGUGAGAAGCCUUACAAGUGCUCGUGGGAAGGGUGCGAGUGGCGUUUUGCACGGAGUGACGAGCUCACGAGGCAUUACAGAAAGCACACGGGUGCAAAGCCCUUUAAAUGCAACCAUUGUGACAGGUGUUUUUCCAGGUCGGAUCACCUUGCCCUCCACAUGAAGAGACACAUCUAAAUAUCAGUCAUCUUGGCAUGGAUGUCAUCCGGGCUAAGUGUUGUGAGAUGAAAGUGGAACUGAAGUUACAACGUGCUACCUUAACACGAGAAGAGAACUUGAUCCCAUGUAAUCCUCUGUACAGGGACCACAUGCUCACAGUGUCAUGCACCCAGUUAUACUUCAAUACCUACAUCGGUUCUUUUAUGCCUUGCCCCAGCUGGAUGGGAGAAGAUGCAGGCGAGGAAAUGGUAUAGAGGUGAAGUCAGUGAAAAAGAACAAUUAUUUACAGUACUUCAUCCCUCUUGGAUUUGUUUCCUGUUUUUGCCAAUGGAAAUCAAAGAAAACAGAGGAGGCUUCCCUGCAGGACGGCAGUAGGAGGGGCUUAUCUAACUUGCUUCUCAGUGCAACUCAGUAGAAGAAUAUGGCGUCUUGAAGUUGCAUAUUUGUAGCACUAACUUUCUUUCUAAAUAGAUGGGGGGAAAACAAUGACCUAGAAAACCAAAUCCCAGUUUGGUAGCCAAAAUUAACCUCUUGGUUUUUUUGUUCUUUCUCUGAGAAUUCCUAAUGUUCAGUGCAUCAGACUUCUCACAGACACUUUGACCUGUCUUGGUUUUGGUUCUUCUUCCUAGAACUGAGCUAUUGAGAUCCUUUUAAGUCAAUACCAGUGGCCUUAAUGGCAGUAGACUGUGGAGUGACACUUGUGACACAAACAUCCUCUUUUUGGCCUGAGUUUAUGUAGACUUCACGGAGGAUUAUAUUUUUGUUUGGUUGUUGGUGGGCUUUUUUGGUUUUUUUGUUUUGUCUUGUUUUGGGUUUUUUGGCUAUUGCACAACAUAUGCACUAGGGACUCUGGAAGCUGCUGCCACGAUGGCUAAGUAGCCAAGGGAUAAACCCCUGAGAUACAGCACCUAAUAUCUCUGUAAGCCUCACUUUAUUGCCAUAGCUAGGACUUCUUUUUUAAUUUUUGAACAAAAAACUUUAAAAGCUUGUUUGGAAGCUUAAACUUUUUUUCUCUUUUCUCCACAAACAAGUGAUCUUCAGAACUCCUUGUCUUCACCUGGAUAUCUGUCUGGGACUGGCCACACAGGCAUGACUACAGGAUUCCUUCCAUAUCAUCUGCAGGGACCAGCCAGAUAUUACGGAAACAAGUUUGCUAGUCUGGAAGAUCCAUGUGAUGUCUCAGAAAUGGUUUCCAGGACCUGAAAUCUAAGCCAACAGAUUCCUACAAAGGUGAACUUUUUUUUUCAUUCAUUCUUAUUUUCCUCAGACUUUUUGGAAAUGCUGUUUUUCUCGUGGUAGCACAUUUUUGUUUAAUGUGGGAAACACUGACCGAACACAGAUGGAGAAGAAUUUGAAUGCAAGAGGAUCCUUCAAUCCUUGCUUUCAGAAUUGUUUUAACUUCAGGUAUAAAAAAAUUAACUCAUUACUAGGGUGUAUAGCUGAAAUGGAGUUGAUCAAUGUGAUUGUUGCAGUGAUUGAGUCUAUCUUAGCUGUGACCUUUCUGAUAUCUACAGAAUCAGCUUUCUCCCUCAUUUUUAUCUGAACCUAGACAAUUUGGGGUUUAUAUCUAAUAUAAAGGUUGCUCCUCCUAUUUAACACACUGUCUGUAUACAAAAGAGGUGGUAAUUGGUACAUUUGACAAAGCUGAUUAAGUCCAACUUCCUUAAGUGUUUCCCUUCCUCUUCUCUUAAUAUAUGUCAAAAUCUUUAAAUUUAAAAAAAUUAAUAAGAGGAAAAUUUUGUAAAUAAUUUAAUGUUAUGAGGCCAGCACUCAGUGGAUCAAGGGCUUUUACUCUUGAUUUCAUUCAGGACUUGGCACAUUCUGUCAUUCCAUCCAGUAGGACUGUUUUUGAGCUUUCAUAUCCGGGGUGAUGCUCUAACCCAGAACUUCUAAAGUACUUUUUGCUGAUUUCAGAUAGAAUUGCACUUGUAAAGAUAUCUACAUACAAAGAAAAAACCCAAUGCUUGACAAUAACUAUUUAACUCUGUCUUGAAAAAUGGAAAUAUUUUUCUCCCAAGAUAUUACAACUACUCAUUGACAAGUCUUGCCUGUCUUUCAUUAGCAUUUAACCUACUAUUCAUGAUUGAUCUUUUCCAGAUCAAACUUGGAUAGUUUUCUUCCUUUUGUCACACUUGUGUCUCUUUUUAUUAAUAGUUAUGGGAUGACUACUGCAGUCUUUCUCCUCCACAGCUCUGCACAAGCUUCAGUAGCAAGACUUAGCAUAGUAAGGACUGUAGGAUCUGGCCUACCAGGUACUAUGAUCUGUAUUGUAAAGCUGAGAAUUUCCUCCUCUCUUAGAGGAAGAAGUCUUGAGAAUACUUGUGCUAUAUAAGUUAUAUAUAUAAUGAUAUAGUUGUAUAUAUAAAUUAUAUACAUAAAAAUGUCAAAAUGGGGAGUAGACUGCCUUUAUCACCUCAAGAAUGAGUUUCCCUACCUGAAAACUUUCAAAUGCAGGCAUCAUUUUAGAAACAGGGUUUUAUAGUUUUCCUUAAUGGUUGUUGAUUGCAUUUUUGGUGUAAUAAUUGAAGUUGGAACUCUGCGAUUUUCAAAAUGAAAGCUUUGAUGAUUUUUUUUUUUAAGUGCUUUGAUCCUAACUUCUAUAUACUGCCAGAAAACAGGUUCUCUACCCUGUCUCUGUGUGGGUGUGGAUGUACAACAGUAUACUGUAUAUACCUACACAGAAGAGCAAACCGAGCUACUGACUUACAGUUUGUAGUAGCCAACCGUGCCUAUUGCUUUCAUUUAGGGAGGGCACUUGCUGUUGCCACUGCAUUUUAGGAAUCAUGUCAGCUCCUGUAGGAAAGUUUUCAACAGUGCUGGGAAAUACAUGUUGCUGUGUACUGUGAAUGAGUAGGCUGCAAAUUUGGGGAUUGGGAGGGGAGGUGGGAAGGGUGGGGGAUGAGGGCUUCGCAUGUACACACUAAAGGGAACUAGAAUGGACAGAAACAUGGCAAUUUUAGCCUUUAUUGUUGGGCUUUCGGGGAAAUUAAAAGCUAACACGCAGUCCCUGGAAGGCCUGAUGGCUGAAGGGCUGAUCUUUAUGUUUUGCAACGUAUGUUUUACCCGUCGCUCUGUAUUUAAAUCCCCAGACCUGUCAGAUUCUGGAAGUAGAUCAAAACACUGGUUUAAACACUACUUUGCUACCAAGGCCAUGUCUCUACCAGGGAAGCUGCCCUACAUUAGAGUCAGUCUAGCUAAAUCCCUUUGUAGCUGCACCUGUUGUGUGAUUGCCUGGAUUGUUUGCAUUGGCAUCCUGUGCAGUUAAGCUGAUGUGUAAGAAAAGCUUCAGCUAAUUAAGAUACCUCUACAGAAAGGUUCUUGCACCAGUUUAAGUACCUGGUUUUGAAAUCACUGCAUAUAAACCAUAACAGCUUUUCUCUUAGAAACAAGGCCUUAGUUUUGCAUAUCUGCUUAUCUUAUUAGUUGAAAAAAUAAUAAUGCAGGCUGAGAUUUUUUUUUUUUUCAUUGCAAAGUGACCUGUUUUCCCUCUUGUUCUUUGAAACUUUUCUUGCUGUCUGCCACACAUUAGAUUUUUGUUUGGGAAAUUUUUCUUUAAUAACAACAAAAUGCAUGAAUGCUCCCUAUUUAAAUAAAAAACAACAAAAAAAAAAACCAAACAAAAACAAACAAAAAAAAACCAACAUUGCUUGAAGGACUUUCAUUUUGCACUAUAAUUUUUCUUUUACCAGAUGUGUCUGACAAGUGCAUUUCGGAGAUGCCCUCGGUCACGUUCUCUCAGGCCUACUCUGGUAUUUCUAAUAUAUCACAGAAGUACCCAAUCUUGUAGCCCUCAGUUCUGCCUUUUUUUGACAUUUUAUUUUUUUUAAGCUUUUUAUAUAUAUAUAUAUAUAUAUAUAUAAAUAUAUUACUUUGUCAGUUUUUUUGCUGUACAAAAAGUCUUAAGAUUUAAAAAUAUUAUUUGUAUUAUAUGAUGGUGGUAUGUUAAUGUUACAAAAUUAUUAAUGAAGAAAAAAUUUAUUUUUGUUACUGGUCUGUUUCAUAAUUCUUUUUUAAAUUGGUAUAUUGUAAGAUAUCUAUGCAAAAAUGUUAUGUGACGCAUUUUUAUUUAAGAAUGUAAUAUGUGUAAUAAACAGUAGAAUGUGUUUGGCCCGACAGUA